GAAAUAGUCUACUUAUCCAAAUGAAUUAGCCCUUGAUUAUUCCAGAGUCAAGAUUGGGACACAAUCUUGGCUUAUUACCCUUUAUCUGAAACAAAAGCACGGAAAGGCGUUCUUAUGGUAUACGCUAAUGGGCUAGGGAUGCUGUGUGUUAAUUUAGAAGCUGGAGGAAGGCCAAACUGAAUUGGCUGCACCAAUUGUGAGUGUGGCGUACUGCGCUUAGCGGCCUUGGGACCUAUUUACCUUGUUUUCUUUGUGUGUACGUUUAAAUGUGAGAGUGUGUUUCCCUUACACUGUGGGUUUACGUGUUGGCUAACCUACCCUUGAAAAUCCUUCAUGUGAAAAAUGCCUUGAAACCUACACUGGGCAGUAGUUAGCACAAACCUUUCCAUCUCAAACACAACCCCUACCACUAAAUAUAAAUGUGGAUGACAGUUAAAAUGGCCUUGGAUGCUGUCAAAACUGACGGUCCUGUUUUUUCUUCUUCUUUUCUUUGUUCUCUGUUCUCUCCCUUUCUCUUUUUUGCCCUGUGCUCCUUCUCUUUUCUUGUCCUACUUUUUUAUAGAACAAACUGGUGUUGCCUUUGUGCAAACCUGUUGUCGAGGAACACUCCAUAGCCUGCGAUUGUCUUUGUCCGAUUGCAUUUUAUCGUGAUGAGGCCAGUCACCCAUUUCACCAUUUUAACCAUCAUCCAUGACAGAGGGAGAAAGUAGGUGAUGUCAGAGACUAUCAAGACCACUGUUUUGGUGGUUACUCCAAGCUUCUUGUGGGUAGGUGCCUUCUGGUGCUUUUUAACCUCAAUGUAUGUUCAUGCGUUCAGUUCAGUGAAGCGUACACAUACAUGUGUUUUCAUUGCCCGUCAGUCAGCCUGCAACGGAGAAUGUCAGAUUAAAAAAUGGCGUUAUGGGUAUAGCUAGUUUGUUAAAAGGUGUAAGAGUCAUUUUUGAACAAUUUUUUGGGGUUAAUGUUGGGGAAAUGUCACAGAAUAGUAAAAACAGAAUGUCCUUUUUCAUGCACACAUUAUAUCUAUCUAUAUAUAGAAUAUAUUGAUGAGUAUAUUGAUGUCAAGGUUUACAAAGGCUGAGUGGAUGGAUGAAUGACAUAAUUAUCUAACAUGUCGACUGAAUAACUUUGUUUCUGGUCCAAAAGUGUAUUAUUUCAUUUGUAUGAAUGUAAAAUCUGUCAAAACUCAAAUACUGUCUAUUUUAUUGAUUAUCGAGGUCUGAACUUUGCAUGCCGUAGUAAUGGACCAACCACUGAGCUUUAUCAAGCAUUUGAGUCAUAUUCUCAUUUAUAUAAACCACAUUUAUAACUUUGGUUCAAAUUUUCAGUCCAGUCCAAGUGAUUCACAUCUACGAUACCAAGUACUAAUCAAUGCUGGCAAAUCUGAAACAAAACAAGAAUGUGCUUAUACAUAGAUUCUCAAAUUAUGAUUUUUAAGUAGCCUAUAUUAAUAUAAUGGGAGUAAACUAAUUCAUUUCAUGUUUUUUUUUUUUUUUUUUACUGUUAUUUUUAUUUUUGUUUUGCAUUCUACUGUAUUUCCUGUUUUUGUUCACUUUUACAGUUCUUUCUGGCUUCCUGAAUGUAACAAAAAAGAAAAAAGCCACUGUUGUACACUAAACAAAAAUCGCAUAGCGUUAAUUGGAUAGCCGUGAAUGACAACUACAAACUACCAUAGCUAAAAGAAGGUGGUUCUAGAACAAAUGUCCCUUCACAAAUGUGUUUUCUUCUGAUUUAAAACAACAGUUUGUCAGAAACAAGAACUAUUUUUUUGUAAUGUAGGAAUAAUUUGAUCACUGAACGCUGUCUGCCUCAGGGGUGCGUUCAGGCACUGGCAAACACUGUAUUCUGUCUGUCUAAAAAGGCUAUAUGGAUUAGGUAUUUUGUAUAUCUUGUGAAAAAAAAAAUUCUUUUUGCUACUUUUGUAUCUAGAAGAUGAAGAGAACUACUUACAGUUACAGAGUAAGAAUGUUACUGUUCAGUUAUAAAACAACCAAAUGUAAGGUCAUGGGAGAAGUCAACUUCAGUAAAGAUGAAAAUGUAAAAAAAAAAGCUUUAACAGUCUGUUUUUUGUUUGAUGAUUUUAAAUAUGUUUGAGGUAGUUUUUAAGAUGACGUGCAUGGUCAUUGCUCACACUGACUGUAGGAAAUACACUCACUGUUUUUAAAGCAAGUGUGACCAAAUAUUUGAUUAAAUGUGUACUGCUAUAACUGAAGGCUUUAUUGCCUGUAGUGGGGCUUCAUCUGUGCCAGCCUAUUCAGAGUAACUAAAUAUCUAAAGCUUUUUUGUUUUAUCUGCACAAAGUGUGAUGUUGCUCUUAAAUUUAUGAUAUAUACAGUAUAUAUGUAUACUACUGUACACUUUACAGCAUAAACGUAUGUAGUAAUAUUCAUGUACAGCUCCUUUUGUAUAAAGUUUUUAAAAGGUUGAUAUCUGUAGAUAUGUGAAUUUUUGCCAGUUUUUUUUUCUGUAGCUAUUAACGGCAAGAAAAAGUAAACAUGCUUGUAAUAAAGAAAGAGAUUUAAAUGUUUGAAAGCCUUAGGACUUUUCUCUUUCCUUGUGACAGAAAUGAUUGUCAGUGAAAUAUCACAGCAACUAGAUUUGUACCUCACAAUAAGAGGCAAAUUCUUCAGGUGCUAAAGUGUUUGAUUUAGCUCACCAUGGAAGUAAUAAAGAUGAAAACGCAAUGGCACAACAUCUGUAGUUAUAUAAUAUGACCUCAAGGUGGCAGCAAAGUGUAGCAUUAAGGUUGCUUCAACAAUUCACUUUCUAAAUACAACCAGCUCCUUUCAGAUUAUUAUAAAUUAAAUGUAAGAAAUAUAUAUGUAUUUAUAUAUACCCCUUUUCAGUCAGAACGAUUUUGAAAAAAAGUUGAAGUAUCUGCGUUUUCUGUCGCAAACUGUAUUACAUGGCAGUACACAAAUUUGAUCCUUUGGCUUCUGGUAGUUUAACUAUUCAUUUUCUUUGGCUGAGAAGACUAUACUCUUUAUAUGAAUUGUAUGGAAUUUAAAGUAUUAACUGUUGUGUAAAAGCAAUUUCACACUUGCAAUCAUGCUGCAGUACUGAAUAUUAAAAUUGGAAACAGUUACCUGCGACCUUGUGUCUACGAUUAUAGAGCCGUGUGAUAAUUUUUUUAAAUAGACCCACAUAAAGAUGUAAUUACUUUGCCAAGCGUUGCUGAAAACCAGGUUAUAAUAAUAUUUCCGUAUAUCAUGCUGAUAUAUAGUCUAAUCAACACUCAACAGGUAAGUGUCAAAAUAGCAUAACUGACCAUUUCAUUAAAUUAAAAUCAAAUCAGGAUAAAUAAAGACUGUG
rnacentral:lncRNA from 12 species